GAUAUUAACCCCUGGUGUCUGCGAAUAGCGACUAUCAUUCCGAUUCUAUCGUUUGCAUUCUAAAUUCAACUUUGCGUGUAUAAAGAUACUGUGGCAAGAGGGAGCUUGGACCUUCCGCGGCGAAUUUUGUGUAGAAUAUGAGCUAUUUUAAGUAUAUCUUGGUUGCUUAGAUUGCUGUACAGAGGUUUUUGUGUGUGUGCCUACGAUUGCGGUAGUCAUUGAUUCACGAAACGCCGUUUUGGAGAAUCCUUCAGAUCCUCUCUGAGAGAUUGGUGAUUUGGAAGCGUAGAUGGAGGGCAGAGUAAUAGUGGCUUAAGUCGUUGGAGAAAACAGGGGAGACGUGUUGUUGUAGAUAUUUGUUUCGGAAGAAUAUUGUGUAAAGUAGUUUUGCUGCGAAAUUUGGAAGACAGACAAGUAUCACCAACGAGGAGAAGCGACAUCAAAUUUGUUGUUGGAACGACAAGGACAGCAGGAUGUCUCCCGGAGCGGUGGUGCAGGUGGUCCAAGGUGCGUCGAUUUUGGCCGGCGCGUGGAUGAUCAAAUCAAUCUUGGAUGCUGACGAGCAGAAACCUAUGGCCGGCGGUAGGCAGUGCGCAACUUGUAAUGGAACUCGAAAAGUGCCGUGUAUGUGCACAAGGUGGUCGGACAACGACGUCGGAUGCAGUACAUGUAGCGGCUCCGGGAAGAUGACUUGUAGUAGCUGCGGUGGCUCAGGCACUGGAAGACCGAUCCCUGUACAAAUCCGCGCCUCCAGUAUACCCGAGAACAGGUCUUAAAGGAUGAUCUCGCAUCUUUCUUGACUUCUCUUAGAGUUCCGAAUUCUGAAGGAACGAUUGUGCUUAGCACAUCUUGCAACAUCAUCGUCCUUUACAGCCUACUUUAGGCUUAUUGUAUCUAAAGAAUUAAUUUGUCCAAAUAUGGACGUUCAAGGGGGAUUCGACACCAAUUGGUGCAGAACAAAGCACCAAAGCUGCAGUUCGUACCCCUUGCGCUCGUGUAACAUGCUAGUUUUUGUAGAUCAGCUUCCUAUAGAACGCAGAGACAAUUUUUCCUUUGUUAGUAUGCUAUUUGGUUUGACAAAAUUUACACCAUUUGAGUUACACCGUGUGCUUGUUCUCAGCGUACUUGCUUGUCUUGUAUAUUAAUCUAGGUUGAUGUUGGAUUUCA